CGCAAACCACUCCAACUCCUUUGUAGCAAGAGGUCUUGUCAGUUCAUGCCUCUUCAGCAAAUCUUUUACCGUCCCUUGAACCUUGAAGAAAUAUUGAUUACAAAAUUUAAUAAACUACUACAGCUGGUUCGCUGAAUGGCUUCAGCUACGCAUUCACCAUGGCAAGAACAUCAAAAGGAAUAAAAAAGAAAACGUAAUUCAUUCACAACAUGCAGUAACAGUCUUCAACAGAAAAUAACACAUGACCUGAAGACUGUUCAACGCUGUCACUAUAAGAUGGCAGAUAAAACAUAUAUGUCAUCUUAUGUCACGAUGAAGGGAUUGGUCAAAGCAGUUGAUAAUUAAAUGUUAAUUAUCGUCAUCAAAUGGAGAAGAUAAAGUAAAUGGAAAGAGAAGGAAUAAUAAACGAACUUGCAGCAAUCAACCUUUGAAAUAAUUUGUAUCUAAUAAUAGCAUAAUGGUCGUACCCAGUGCACAAGGCUCCCGCUUUACGCAGGGUCUGGGAGAGGUGAAUGUUAAUAAUAGCAUAAUGAAUGGAGAUUAUUUCAAAUUGAUGCUGAUACCUGAUGAUGGUAUGCUGUUGCAGAUUUGAGAAACUUCUCGUAGGCAAUAACUGCCUUCUUUGUAUAAGGCUUCAAUACCACUCGAACCUUAUCGACAUGAGGUUUUGCCACAGUGGCCACCUGAUCAACAUAUGGCUUGCUGAACUUUUUUGCUUCCUGUCACCCAAAGAUACAGUUGUAGGAUGCAUGUAGGCAACAUGAAUGGACCAAAUUCUUUGCCUAAUGAAAUGUGUAUAUGAAUUAGAUACCUGAAAAUAAGGAUCAACAACUUCUUGUGCUUUUAUAACGUGUGGAGCUAGUGUAGUCUUUGAAACCUCAUAAACUUCAAAAGUUUUUGUACUUAACGAUUUCACAUGAGGUUCAACAGUAUCCUUCACCACCUCCCAUUGUUCCUUGAUUGCCGGGAUCCAUUUCUUCAAUAGAACAGACAUGAAAAGGGGGGAUAAUAAAGUUUAGUGAGAAAGGCAAACCAUUUCUUAUAAACAAGGCAUAAACCACAACAGAAUGGGAGAACAUACUAGCAUCCAUACAUACAUACAUGCAUACUAACAUACAUGUAUACAUACUAGCAUGCAUGUGUGUGACUGUAUCCUGCCCAACAUUAUUAACACCAUGGAACAAUUUUAUAGCUAGAGACAUCGGAAACAGCAACACCAUCAAUUUCAGGUCACAGUGUAAUGAUGCAAAAUUCUACAUUGUUACACAAAAGUGGAAAUUGAAAAUAAAAUAAAUUAACCUAGCUUACAGUUUUUAAUGUUUCCACAUGGGGUUCAGCCCACUUUUCAGCCUGGGCUUUUUUCUCCAGAGCCUGAACAAAUAUGAAGGUCCUCGUCAGUUAUUGAAGGAUAAUAAUACUCAGUAAAUUAAGCAUAAACUUGUAAAAGAGAAAAUUGUAGGAGUAACGUAUCAGAUUCUUCAAGCGACCAUACAGCAAUUAGUUGUAAUACCUUCUGAACAGCAAUAUCCACUGCAGGUUUUCCAUGCACAUUCCAGUGUCUCUCUAGAAAGGACUGCAAGUUGAUAAUAACUUCAAUUCCUUGAAAAGGAAAAUUUUCUUUACAACAGUAAAAUACACUAAGUUUACCUGACACUGCAUAAAAUGUACAGCAAGCCAUGGUGGAAUCCAUGCACCAUGCACCUGAUACAAAAAUAAAUAAAUAAAUAAAAAUAUAUCCUUUAGGGCUCGCAAUCAAAAUCUAAUCACCACACUACUUUGAAUAUCAUGUAUAACAUAAGGGAAAGAUGUAUGGAUUGAAAAAAAAUAAGCAAACCAAGCUUUUGCAACACUUUCAGGUUACAACUACCAUAGAAAGAAUAUAGACAAACAUUGGGAGACAGUUAAAAUGAGAGAGAGAAUUCAUGCAACUUAAUACCUCAUUUAACUCUUUUGCUUUUAGAGUAGCUUCAAACUUUGCCUUCAACAUUUCCUCCUGAAGACAAAUUUAGAAACAUAGACUGAGCAUAAGCACCAACCCCCAUCUAGAAAAAUGCGCUUCCGCAGAGACUAAAAAAUUACCUCAGCCACUUUAAGAGCACGCUCAGUUUUACGGAUUUUGGUCUUCUGCUCAUCAUUAGUCUUCUCAAUCUGUAAAAAGAUCACCAGACAUCAUUCUAUUAUCCCCACGGGGUAACAUUAAGCAAAAUUCAAGUAGCAUUAGAACUAGUUUAAAAUGAUAUAAAAGAAAAAGAAAAAAGAAGCAGACUUUUUUGUUCAGCAUUCUAUAGAAGUAAAGAUAGUAAUACAAAAUAGACCACAGCACCCAAUUGUGUCUGCAUUGGUGCUAAAGAAGUAUGUAAACUAACAACAUUGUUUUGCCCACCAGCAGUUUACAUUCUAUACAAAAGACAUUCACAUCAACACACUUAUUUCUGGGGAAACAGACAGAGGACUCAUCACAAAAAGGACAUGAAACGAAUUAACAAUAUCCACAAAAAGGUCGUACCCAGUGCACAAGGCUCCCGCUUUACGCAAGGUCUAGGAGAGGUGAAUGUCGGCUAGCCUUACCCCCAUUUAUGGAGAGGCUGCUCCCAAGUCUCGAACCCGAGACCUACCGCUCAUGGGCGAAGGCACUUGCCAUCGCACCAAGUGCGACCUCUAAUUAACAAUAUCCACAGAAUAAAAAAAAUACAAACCAAAACAAAACAGCAAGUUAUUGACAGUGUUGAGUUAAAUAAGACAACUUUUAGCAUCCAUGACUAUCAUUCUUUACCUAACACUUAAAUCCAAUGCAAAACAAUGUUCUGUUCUCUUAUAAUCAGAAUCACUAAGGACUUCCAAUAUGAGCACAUUCAGCAACAACAUAACUUUUCUUCCAAAUGAGAAAUAACAACUCACAUUCUCUAUUUUCAAAAGCAAAACAUCGACCUUCUUCUCAGCUUCAUUCGCCCGGGCUUCCAAGCCCUCUUUCUCAUUACGUUGCGAUUGCAAUUCCUUUUUAAGUUCAUUAACCUGCAUAGGAGAAUGAAAUGAAAAUUCAGUGGGGUUCUCUUUUUUCGGUAACAAGAAUGUAGUGGUUUUCACAGACUAAAAUAGUCCAUUUCGUCGUAUCUCACCUUUUUCUCUAGUUCACCAGCACGUGCAUGAGCCUUCCCAAGCUCAGCAUCUAAUGACCCUUUUUUCUAAUAUACAGAAACAUAGAUAGAAAUCAAUGUGCAGAUAAACAAACCAUCAUUCGAAAAAACAGAUUGGGUAAUUGGUUUUCUGGCAUUUCAUGCAAAUGUGCCUAACCUGGAGAGAAUCAAUUUCACUCUGCAACGAAGAAAUGCUAUCCGAGUUCUUUUGGAUUACUUUCUCCUUCUCUUCUAUAAGCUCAUUCUUCUUUUUUAGUUCCUUAAUCUUCUCACCGACAUCGAAUUCUUGAACAUUAAAGAAACACAAACCGUCAGCCAGGAAAACCCAAACAGCACUAAAAAACACUUAAAAAUGCUCGAAAUUGAAAUUUAACUAACAUCGAUGUUGUUUCUACUCACAAAGUAACUAAACAAUUAAGCAUCUUUAUUGCUCUGAUUAAAAUUAUAAAAACUGAAAACUCAAAGCUUUACAAGUAAGCACCAGAGUCAGCUAAUUGGCAGUAUUACUUGGAUUCCAAAACAGAAACACAAAAUUAUACAUGGAAAGAAAUUAAAACACUUCCCAAGUGAAAAAAAAAAGGAUCUGUAAAUUCAGUCAAAUCUGUUUGGAUGGCGAGAAAACCGAGGGAAAAAAUCGAAUCCACAAACACUUGAAAAAUCACAAAUUUCGUCCAAUAAACCUUAGAAUUCGCAGAAGACGAUAGAAACGAACCUAGGGAGUGGAUCUUAGCCCUGAGCUGAUCCAACUCGAUCUUCAGAGCGGACGAAUCGGGGCCGUCCGAUCGGGGGAGCUUCACUGGCUCGUCUUCCUCCGCCGGGACUGAAGCGUCAGCCCGAAUCUGGGAGAAAAUAAGGGCAAGAAAGAUUGAGAGAAUCGCGAGCUUGGAGGCCGCCAUGGGAGCAUGCAAUCACGGCCAACGAAACUCUCACAGCGACAGUUUUUCCAGUGUUUUUUUAGUUCGAGUUUGAUUUCUUCCGACUACAAAUAUUAAAUACCCUUUUGGUACCAAAAAUAAAAAAAACGAAAAUGAAUAUAACUGUCAACUAAUUCAUGAUACCAAAUUUUUUUUUUAAAGUAAAAUCUCAAAAUAUUAAAUUAAUUAAUUAGAAAGAAAUUUGCCAACAUUUUUUUUUAAGAAAACGGUAAUUUCAAAUCAACCCUAUUUAGUGGCUAUUACUUUCAUUUGUUACUUUGAAUUUACAAACAGAAUAUUAGCUCAUGGUACACGCCUACGCAUAUGCUAAUUGGGUUUUUUUUAGUAAUUAUAUAUUUUUGGUACUAAUAAAAAUAUGGGGCUUUUAGAUCUCUAAAAACAUAGAUUGUUAUUAGGAUGUGUAAUAUUUUGUGUUUGAAAGAGAUGAGUAGUUUUCAUUUUUAUACAAGUAAAAAUUCGUUGAGUUGUUUAAUUUUGACUUUUUUCAAGUGGAAACUAUUUUUAUUACAAAACAUUAUUAGAUACGAACAAACUACAAGAUCAUAAUUAUUUAAAAAAAUAUUUAUAUUAAUCUAAAUUUCCUUUAACAUAAAGACAAAUAGACGAUCCUCAAUGAAAAGAAAACAUAUAAACGCGACAUUGAAUACGAAAAACAAGGAAAUCCUUUGUUGAUGUCAUGCUUGAUAUAGCAAAAGAAUACCAUGAAAAGUAUCAUCGUCAAUUUCUGAAAGAGCGUAAUUGAAGUGUUUUUUGCUGUAAAAAGUUGGGAUAUAAGAUAGGAUUUUUGUUCCAAGACCUUCGCUAAGCUAGUUGAUUUGCAACGUACUACCGAAAAGGUCGUGCCAACGAUUUAUAAAGAGAAACAAAUUUCCCAAAACUAUGUUACCGACAUUUGCAUUUAAUUUAGAAAGAUAAAUAUUUUAGGUCAUCCUUUAACUAAAUUAGAGGACGAUUAUUAUAUUCAACGAGUGGAAUUCAAAAUUUAUACUCUGUUGAUGGCAUGUUUGAAAUAGCAUAGAAUAUCAUCAAAUAUGCCAUCAUGAGUUUUCGAAAAAGCAUAAAUUGAAAUAUUUUUUGUUGCAAAAAGUCGAGGUAGAAAUAAGUUUUUUGUUAUAAGACCUUCAAUUUGCCGAGUCAUACAUACAUUCUUUUGACCAUUUAACUCUAACUAACAAAAGGACAAUACUGGUGAUUAACAAAGCGAACCAAGUUUUCUAGAAACAUGUUAGCGGCCUUUGCAUCAGAUUAAAAAGAUAAACUUUUUAGAUCAUCCCUUGACAAAGUUACAGGACUAUUUUAUUCAACGGGUGGAAUUCAAAAAAGGUGAUGGCAGGUUUGAAACUUUGAAAGAGCAAUAGAAUAUCAUCAAAAAUCUCACCGUCAAUUUUUUAACGGGCGUAUAUUGAAAUACUUUUGCUUGAAAAAGUCGGGGUAGAUGAUUAAAUAAAGGAAUCAUCUAAGAUCAUUAUCAUUAAAGUGCCACGGAAUUAUUACCUUUUUAUUAUUGUGAAAAUGAUUUUGUCUUGGGUACUUUUGUUUGAUAAUUUGUACCCACCUACUAUCUUUAUAUCAGUUAACAUUCCCCUUUAUUUUUAUUUUAUGGUUGUAAACUUUUAUACUUUUUAAUUUUUGAACUUCAAACAAUUUUAAAUAUUUUUUGUAUAAUGCACAUGGCACCAAAUUAUUGAACAUGUCAUCAGAAAAUUUAGUAAAAAUUAACAUUAUGAAUCAAAUUAAUGUGCGCUAGUUAAUUUCAAAAAUCGAUUUUGAAAUUCAAAGAUCAAAUAACAAAUGAUGUAAAUUCAAAAACUAUUUAUGAUGGUAACCCCACUUAUAUAUAAUAAUAUUGAUAUGUAGUUUGUCAGCUUUUAUUCCAAAUACACUAAAAAGAUAAACUAAAAUACACCCUUCAACAACAUAAGUAAAAGCCGCCCACCGCCACCAACUCCUAGACUUAUCUUAACGUUUAACCAGUGCAUCACAGUUUCUAACAUUUUACACAGACGAUUGAAUCAUGCACGGAAAAAGGACAUCUAAACAAAGCCAGUAGCAGCUUACUUCUCUGGAUGGCACCUUUUAGCCUUACGACGCGCAUGGUUGGUACCUGGAACAGGUUUUUUAGUCUUUGUACUGCAUAACGAUGCACAAGGUCGUAAUCAGCAAACAGAAAUAUGUUAGGGUUACUUUUCGUUUAGAAAAUGCGGUGUGCAGGCAUGAGCACGUAUAAGUAACUAACCAGAAAAGUGAGGAGAAAAUUCUGAACUGAAUUAUGAUGAGCAGGGCCACCAAAGCCGAGGCCUGCAACAUUUUAAUUGCGACUAAAUAAGGGGAUCAAACAUAAAAUUCAAAGAAAGAAAACAGAACAAACAAAGAAAUGCAAGAAGAUUGAUUUCAUUACACGUACCGCAAACCACUCCAACUCCUUUGUAGCAAGAGGUCUUGUCAGUUCAUGCCUCUUCAGCAAAUCUUUUACUGUCCCUUGAACCUUGAAGAAAUAUUGAUUACAAAAUUUAAUAUACUACUAAAGCUGGUUCGGGGAAUGGCUUAAGCUACGGGUGCAUCCACCAUGGCAAGGACAUCAAAAGAAAAAGAAAAGAAACCGUAAUUCCUUCACAACAUGCAGUAACAGUCUUCAACAAGAAGUAACAUAUGAACUGAAGACUGUAUGUCAUCUUAUGUUACGAUGAAUUGAUUGGUCGGAGCAGUUCAUAAUUAUCGUCAAGAAAUGGAGAAGAAAAAGAAAAUGGAAAACAAAGGAAUAAUAAACGAACUUGCAGCAAUCAACCAUUGAAAUAAUUUGUAUCUAACAGUAGCAUAAUGAAUGGAGGUUAUUUCAAA
rnacentral:lncRNA from 1 species